rnacentral:rRNA from 1 species
GACGAACGCUGGCGGCGUGCUUAACACAUGCAAGUCGAACGGAAAGGCCUGCUUUCCCUUGUGGUUUUCGGGUACUCGAGUGGCGAAGGGGUGAGUAACACGUCAGUGUUCUGCACCCAACUUGGUUAUAAGCCUGGGAAACUGGGUCUAAUUCCCGAUAGGACUGCAGGGUGGAGCCUGUGGUGGAAAACGAUUUUCUAGUGGUUGGGGAUGCGCUCGCGGCGUAUCAGCUUGUUGGUGGGGUAAAGGCCUACAACGGCGGCGAGGGGUAGCCGGACUGGGAGGGUGGACGGCCAAACUGGGACUGGGUCACGGCUCCGACUCGAGCGGGCGGCAGGAGAGGGGAAUAUUGGAGAAUGGGCGGAAGGGUGAAGCAGCGAGUGCGCGUGGAGGAUGACGGCCUUCGGGUUGUAAGCUCCUUUCGAACGAGAGGAGGCCAACUGGUUGGAAGGGUGGUGACGGUAGUGGUAGAAGAAGCACCGGCUAACUACGUG